AAUCGGAUGGAUUAGCGGUCAAAAUCGUCGGGCCCAUGACCUGAAGAACGGAGGUUCAAAUCCUCCACUGACUA